AUACUUACCUGGCAGGGGAAAUACUAUGAUUAUUAAAGUAGUUUUGCAGAGCAAGAUUUAUUUAUGGCGCUCUGCCUGUGGUGACAGAUGAGAUUUUUCCAAAUGUAGAAAGCUCAGUGGCACAAUUGGUAGGAGUGGGGUUAAAAGAAGGAAAAGUAAUAUUCCUUA
rnacentral:snRNA from 1 species